AAAAAGCUGAGGGCUUGAAAUUGUCGCAAGUCUCGCGUUUUAAACAUUUAUCCUGACGUUCUCCCCCAAAAUCCCACCUUCCAUCUCUCUUUCCCGUUCUUUACUGCUUCAUCUUCUAGCCACCUCUCUUCAUCGACGCCCAUCUUCACUGACACCACUUUCGCCGCCGUUCGUGUUCGCCGCCGCCGCCCCCACCCAGUUAAUGGCAGCUCCGACGAUGACAAUGUGUGAUUAGCUGUCUUCCCUGUACAGGUAUUGUUAUGGAAACUCCUUUUUAUCACCGACCAUCUUCGUCUACUGAUUCUACAAUUUAUAUUGCUUGUUUGUUCUGAGUUGCAAUUUGAUUUUUGGAUUUUUUUUUUCUUAAGACAAUUCUUGCGAAGUGAAUGUUGACCAGGUUUAAAUAGAUCGAUAUUUAUUUUCUAUGAAAACCCUGAUAUAAUAUCUCCUGAAAACGAAUUCAAUUAUUUGAAGAACGCAGUGCAAUUAGCUUCUGUGUUUUUCACAUGAAGGAACCUAUUUUAACUUCGUUAUUGUUCUAAGAGUUUGCCAUUUUGUGCAAAUCGGAAAGCAACUACCAAAUAGUGAUAAUGCAUUCAUACUAAUGGAUAAUGAUUUUCUUCCAUCUUGAGCUCUAUCUUAUGUUAGUUGGGGAAAAUUGAUGUGAAUAAUUUGUUAAGUGCUGUGAAAUUAAGGAGAGAGAGGCCUCUUUGUUUAAUGACAGAAUAUAAGGAAGCUGUUUGGAGUAGUUAUAUGUCAAUUACUAAACAGGACACCUCUAUUUUGAAUAGGCUUGUUGAUGUUGGAGUGUCUCCAAGGGUAGAAGAGUCAAAAAUUUUAGCCCCUUUUGGACCAUAUUUUAGGGUUAAUACACCUUCGAUUGGAAUUGGAUCAUCUCCUUUUUUUGAUCCUUAAAUGAAGGUAAGUGUGUUUGUUUUGGUUUACUCUUUAGAUUUAUUUUUAAAUUGGUAUUCAUUUUUCUUGGAAGAUGUUGAUUAAAAU
rnacentral:lncRNA from 1 species